UCGAAACCUGCCAAGCAGAACGACCAGCGAACACGUUCUUACAUUGCGUAGGAAGGGGUUGCUGGUUCGCCAGUCCCUCCCUAACGCCAGUGGGCAAUCCCUCGGGGGUGCUUCCUGGCACAAUAACGAACCCCGGCGCGUAUGCGCCAAGGAACAUAAACAAGAGUGUGCCAAUCAUUGCUCGGGCUUUCGGGUAGUGAUGUGGCACCCAAUCUAAGUCAUAAAACGACUCUCGGCAACGGAUAUCUCGGCUCUCGCAUCGAUGAAGAACGUAGCGAAAUGCGAUACUUGGUGUGAAUUGCAGAAUCCCGUGAACCAUCGAGUUUUUGAACGCAAGUUGCGCCCGAAGCCUUCCGGCCAGGGCACGUCUGCCUGGGCGUCACGCAUAGCGUCUCCCCUAACUCACCAAGUGUGGGAGGGAGAGGAUGAUGGCUUCCCAUGCCUCACCGGGCAUGGAUGGCCUAAAUAAGGAGCCCUUGGACACGAGGUGUUGCGGCGACAGGUGGUACACAAGGCAUAUGCCUAGAAAGCAUCGUGCCAAGCAUCACGUAGUCUAUGUGGGCUCGAAGGACCCUUACAAACCUUUGCGACCCCAGGUCAGGCGGGGUUACCCG
rnacentral:rRNA from 1 species